UGCUGUAUGCAUCGACACCAAAUCAUAAACAUAUAAGGUAACAUAAGUUAAGUUUCAGUAAACAUUAAGAGAUGAGACUGUCAUGUAUAUCGUUGGCUCUUGCUACAAUUUUUAUUUUGACGAUCGUGUUUACAACCGAAAUUUGGGCUAAGGCUCAGGAAAUGGAUGAAAUAGAUACCUGUUGGUGCUGUCCUUAGCUCGUAUAUAGUGGCUCAUGGUCGCCUACUUCCUAAAUUAUAGAAAGAUGGCAUUUCUCAUCACUGAAAAAGAGUAGCUGCGUCUUCCAUCACGUGAUGAACCUGGAAUGAAAUUUUUAGCAAAGACCUGGCAAAAAAUUGGAAUUAUAAUGUAAUAUGUAUAAAAAAUGAAGCAUAUAAGCAAUACAAUACGUCAUAUUGUAUAUUUUUGAAAAAAAAGUGUUAAUUAUAUUUGUAUGUAUCUAUUAUAUUUGUUUGUUUUUAAAUGACUUAACAGAAAAUAAACAACAAGAGUGCAUAAUCAGUA